GGUUAAGCGACUAAGCGUACACGGUGGAUGCCCUGGCAGUCAGAGGCGAUGAAGGACGUGCUAAUCUGCGAUAAGCGUCGGUAAGGUGAUAUGAACCGUUAUAACCGGCGAUUUCCGAAUGGGGAAACCCAGUGUGWWUCGWCACACUAUCAUUAACUGAAUCCAUAGGUUAAUGAGGCGAACCGGGGGAACUGAAACAUCUAAGUACCCCGAGGAAAAGAAAUCAACCGAGAUUCCCCCAGUAGCGGCGAGCGAACGGGGAGCAGCCCAGAGCCUGAAUCAGUGUGUGUGUUAGUGGAAGCGUCUGGAAAGGCGCGCGAUACAGGGUGACAGCCCCGUACACAAAAAUGCACAUGCUGUGAGCUCGAUGAGUAGGGCGGGACACGUGGUAUCC
rnacentral:rRNA from 1 species